rnacentral:rRNA from 1 species
GAUGAACGCUGGCGGCGUGCCUAAUACAUGCAAGUCGAGCGAACAGACGAGGAGCUUGCUCCUCUGACGUUAGCGGCGGAAAUGCGAGUAACACGUGGAUAACCUACCUAUAAGACUGGGAUAACUUCGGGAAACCGGAGCGAAUACCGUAUAAUAUAUUGAACAGCAUGGUUCAAUAGUGAAAGACGGGUUUGCUGUCACUUAUAGAUGGAUCCACGCUGCAUUAGCUAGUUGGUAAGGUAACGGCUUACCAAGGCAACGAUGCGUAGCCGACCUGAGAGGGUGAUCGGCCAAACUGGAACUGAGACACGGUCCAGACUCCUACGGGAGGCAGCAGUAGGGAAUCUUCCGCAAUGGGCGAAAGCUUGACGGAGCAACGGCGCGUGAGUGAUGAAGGUCUUCGGAUCGUAAAACUCUGUUAUUUGGGAAGAACAAAUGUGUAAGUAACUAUGCACGUCUUGACGGUACCUACUCAGAAAGCCACGGCUAACUACGUG